AUGGCUGUUCGCCAUUUAAAGUGGUACGCGAGCUGGGUUCAGAACGUCGUGAGACAGUUCGGUCCCUAUCUGCCGUGGGCGUUGGAUGAUUGAAGGGAGUUGCUCCUAGUACGAGAGGACCGGAGUGAACGAACCUCUGGUGUUCGGGUUGUCACGCCAGUGGCACUGCCCGGUAGCUAAGUUCGGAAUCGAUAACCGCUGAAAGCAUCUAAGCGGGAAGCGAGCCCUGAGAUGAGUCAUCCCUGACCCCUUGAGGGUCCUAAAGGGCCGUUGGAGACCACAACGUUGAUAGGUGGGGUGUGUAAGCGCAGUGAUGUGUUGAGCUAACCCAUACUAAUUACCCGUGAGGCUUAACCAUACAACACCCAAGAAGUGUUCUG
rnacentral:rRNA from 1 species